rnacentral:rRNA from 1 species
CGCUGAAGCACCAGCUUGCUGGUGUGGAUGAGUGGCGAACGGGUGAGUAAUACGUGAGUAACCUGCCCUUGACUCUGGGAUAAGCCCGGGAAACUGGGUCUAAUACUGGAUGCUACAUGUCACCGCAUGGUGGUGUGUGGAAAGGGUUUACUGGUCUUGGAUGGGCUCACGGCCUAUCAGCUUGUUGGUGAGGUAAUGGCUCACCAAGGCGACGACGGGUAGCCGGCCUGAGAGGGUGACCGGCCACACUGGGACUGAGACACGGCCCAGACUCCUACGGGAGGCAGCAGUGGGGAAUAUUGCACAAUGGGCGAAAGCCUGAUGCAGCGACGCCGCGUGAGGGAUGACGGCCUUCGGGUUGUAAACCUCUUUCAGCAGGGAAGAAGCCACAAGUGACGGUACCUGCAGAAGAAGCGCCGGCUAACUACGUGCCAGCAGCCGCGGUAAUACGUAGGGCGCAAGCGUUGUCCGGAAUUAUUGGGCGUAAAGAGCUCGUAGGCGGUUUGUCGCGUCUGCUGUGAAAGCCCGGGGCUUAACCCCGGGUGUGCAGUGGGUACGGGCAGACUAGAGUGCAGUAGGGGAGACUGGAAUUCCUGGUGUAGCGGUGGAAUGCGCAGAUAUCAGGAGGAACACCGAUGGCGAAGGCAGGUCUCUGGGCUGUUACUGACGCUGAGGAGCGAAAGCAUGGGGAGCGAACAGGAUUAGAUACCCUGGUAGUCCAUGCCGUAAACGUUGGGCACUAGGUGUGGGGGACAUUCCACGUUUUCCGCGCCGUAGCUAACGCAUUAAGUGCCCCGCCUGGGGAGUACGGCCGCAAGGCUAAAACUCAAAGGAAUUGACGGGGGCCCGCACAAGCGGCGGAGCAUGCGGAUUAAUUCGAUGCAACGCGAAAGAACCUUACCAAGGGCUUGACAUAUACCGGAAUCGUUUCCAAAGAUGGUUUCUUCCCCUUUUGGGGUCGGUAUACAGGGUGGUUGCAUGGUUUUUCNUCCACUCCGUGUCCUGAAGAUGUUUGGGUUUAGUUCCCGCCAACGAACCGCAACCCUUCGUUUCCAUGUUUGCC